UGAAACCAGAUAUGACUUAGUGGCGGACGGGUGAGUAACACGUGAGCAACCUGCCUUUCAGAGGGGGAUAACGGCUGGAAACGAUCGCUAAUACCGCAUGACAUAGCGGAAUCGCAUGGUUCUGUUAUCAAAGAUUUUAUCGCUGAAAGAUGGGCUCGCGUCUGAUUAGAUAGUUGGUGGGGUAACGGCCUACCAAGUCGACGAUCAGUAGCCGGACUGAGAGGUUGAACGGCCACAUUGGGACUGAGAUACGGCCCAGACUCC
rnacentral:rRNA from 1 species